rnacentral:lncRNA from 1 species
UGCAUGGCAGGCCCCCGCAGAGGAUCAGUGCAGUGGCUGAACACCGGGAAGGAACUGGCGCUUGGAGUCCAGAUAUCUGGAAUACGGACUGAGCUCUGGGAUAAGAACAAAUGAGGAAGAGACAGUCACUGCCCUGGCAGCAAACACCCAUGGCCAGGGUUCCUCUAUCCAUCUGUGGGAAGACCCCAAGUUUGAUACUGAAGAUGUUAAACCAUCUCCAAAGUAAGUGGAAACUGAGGUGUUGUGGAUUCGAUGACCUGGACCCUAGGGUCAGUCCCCACCCCUUUGCUGAGCUCACCCUGCCCUGGAACUCGUGUCCCUCCCCACCUCCCCUGCUACUCGGGAGCGCUGCCACUGCCCUGGCCAAGAACUGGGGGGCUACGUCUAGUUGAAACAUAUUUCUGGGCCAGACAACCAUUGGCCAACAGUGUCUACUGAAGGACCAUUCCCCAGGUGACUUCCAGAAGAGGUGAAAAAUGAAAACUUAUCUGUCCCAGACCCAGGAAGAUCAGGUCUGGGACCUCUCUGUGUCUGGCCUGACCCUGAAGUCCAUCCCUACUGACUCGUGUCCUGUCUGCUCUGUGUCAGAAAAGUGGGGACCUGAUUCCUGUUCUGCCCCUCUCACCAAUUUCUGCUGGUGUCAUUGCCAUCAUCACACAAAGAGAUGGGGAAGACAUGGUACAAUAAGGAAGCUGCUUUCUCGAGGCACUUAGGAUGAUGUUCACACCAUACUCUCGGCAGACAGGAAGGCCAGGUCCUGCUCACUCCAACUGAGGUGGGGGGAUCACUUGAGAUCAGGAGUUCCAGACCAGCCUGGCCAACAUGGUGAAACCCCAUCUCUACUAAAAUUACAAAAUACUAAACAUAAGAAAAUAGCCUCAUUUAUAACACAAACCCCCAAUAUAUUAUGUUACCCAUGUCUUACCAUCAUUUCAAACAACUUUCAGAUUUAUUUUCAGUUCCUGAUUUCUACCACUCAGACUGGGCUGGAGGAACUCUAAGAAACAGACUUCCUGCUGACCCUCCUGCUCCGACUUCUAGGCAUGUCUUUGGUGCAAAUGUGGGCUCCUCUUCCUCCCUCAUGCAAAUUAACUCUUAAAGAUUAGUCCACCAAGUCUUCUAGAGAUAUCUACACAAGUCUGAAUUUUAAGGUAAAAGUGGCUGAGAUUUAAGUUGAGAGUCAGUGUGGCAGAUUCCUGGCUCUUAAAGGUUUUUACUUUGAAGAAGAUAAAAUGCAUGAAUCCUACUAGGGCAGAAAGAGUUCACAAUAGGUGUUUUGGUGACAAAGCACUUGUUCUACAUAGCCCAAGGGUAAAUGCCAAUACCUAUUCAGAAUGGAGCAGGGAAAUUGAAAAUAAAUUUGAACGCUUCUAAUGUAAAACUUCUGUUUCAUAUCCUGGCUCUCAGCAGCUGAGUGACCUUGGGCAAGUUAUAUAACCUUUCUGAGCCUUCAUUUUCUCACCCUAAAAUGGAGAUAAUAUCAAUAUUGUCUCCAUCACUCCCAACCCCCUUACUAUUUGGUAAGAAUUACAUGAGAUAAAAUAUGUAACUAACACAGUACCUGGUACAAAAUAAGGAGUCAGUUAAUAUUAGAUCUUCUUCCUCCACCAGCUCAGCUCCUUUCCUCUUCCUUAUCCAGGAAAUACAGAAAUAUAUGGAUUCACCGUAGAAGCUGGACCCAGCUCCUCAGAUGCAGCAGAUGGAUUGGCCCACUCUGUAAUGACCCAGGAUGGGGCGGGUGUUCUUCUGCAUGGUGACUGAGAAUGUGAGCCUCAGAAUGAAAUACAGAGAAAUGCAUCUUACCAUCUCCGGUGUCAUGAGGUCUUCAAGAUGGACAGAUGGGUAUUCACUGAGAUCUUCGACCAAAUCUAG